GAUCAUGGCUCAGGACGAACGCUGGCGGCGCGCCUAACACAUGCAAGUCGAACGGAGUCAAGAGGAGCUUGCUUUUCUUGACUUAGUGGCGAACGGGUGAGUGACGCGUGAGUAACCUGCCCUGGAGUGGGGGACAACAGUUGGAAACGACUGCUAAUACCGCAUAAGCCCACAGCCCGGCAUCGGGCUGAGGGAAAAGGAUUUAUUCGCUUCAGGAUGGACUCGCGUCCAAUUAGCUAG
rnacentral:rRNA from 1 species